CACCUUUUUUAUUUGAUUUAUUUCUGAUUAAUAAGUUAUCUCUAUUUAAAGUCAUAUGAGAAAUUUUGAGUUUGUCAAAAUUAUUUAAUCCAUGCAUCCAUAUAUUUACUACAUUUAUUAAGUCUUGCAUGCAUGUUUUUCUGUCCCCGCCGUAGGGGAUGGGGCAUUAAGUUUUACCCUGGUUGUCUGUAUGUCUGUUCCGCACAUUCCAAAGGUGGUUUCCGUUCUCUAACCAAUUACUGCAUACAGGAAAUUAUUGGCAAAUUAAUGUCUUGGAAGCCAAUAAUUAAAUAUCAGUACAUUUAUGACGAUUUUUAUCAUAUAAGGCUUAAAUUAAAAUAUUGUUUGUUUGCCCUUUACCGACCGACCCUAUCAAUUCGUUCCGCCUGAAAAUCUUUUAUUUGUAUUUACCAGCAAGAUUUUAUUUUAUUUUAUUUUUUCGUUCCUACCAAAAAUCUUAUAUUUGUAUUUCCCGCUCAAAACUUUUUUACCGGAAUCCUCGGGUUUUACCUUUAACGUAUAAGGUCCAGUCCGUUUGGUAUCACCUGAGCGUUUGACAUGAACACUUGCAUUUGAAGUUUCAAAGCAUUUGUUUGAAAUCGAUGUUGAACGCUUUCUGAAAUCAUGAUAUGAAGUACGUUACUCUGUACCUUUAAACUUAAAGAGCAGGGUUCAUUUACAAAAAAAGUUCGUUUGAUACAAAAGUAUUUACGUGUGUACAAACUAAUUUGUAAACGGACGUUGUAUUCUAUGUAGGGAUGGCCUUUUGUGAUCCGCAUAUCAGAAUGAUUAUGUUAACGAUGCCGCUAAAUUAUUUAUAUCUGACAUGAACCAAAAGUGACAAAACCCUGUAAAGUGGAGAAUAUCUGGCAGUAAAAUCGCCAAGUUUUCCAUACAGAUCAUUUAUAAAUGUGAUGCAAAAUACGUGACAAUUGAGUUUUAAGUCUCAUAGCAUUUUUAUUGGAAAAAAAGGCACACACGAAAUUUGUAACACUCUAGGGACUUUUUCUACUAGUAAUUUAUGUCUGCCCGGACAUUAUCUUACCAGUACAAAGUUA
rnacentral:lncRNA from 1 species